GGGAAAAAAAGGGGCAAUGAAAUCCUUCUUUCAUGGACCAGGUCUGUCGUCAACCACAUGUGGUUUACCUGUGCCACAUGUAAGGGUGACGUAGAGGCACUGCAAAAACGGUGGAAGUUCAUUCCACACCAUGCUUGCAAUGAACACGAAUGGACAGAUGGUGACGGAAAUCGUCAUCGGUGUGAACACACUCCUCUUACCGCCCGUGAGCAGAAGAAGAGGAUGUGGAUUGAGAAGGACUCGUGGCAUUUCAGGACCUGUCGUCGCUGGUCCUAGACAAAAGGCUAUUGAAAGACCUUGAGAAGAUGGCCCUCUUCAAACAUACUGGUGAGA